UCCAGUGGUGGUCAGCUGUCUUUGUCAAUACCAUGUCUGCGACAGUGUUACACUACUGGAAGAUAAAAGUGCUGUCUGGUUUUGCUGUGUGUCAUUGUCUUCGUUCUGGAGAUCACUGACAACCAGUGUGGGGCAGCACUGUGCUUUACUGAGAGUGUGCAGAGCAGUUACCAUCCUGUUCAGCACUAGUCUGGAAGCAUACACA
ensembl:snoRNA SNORA74 Small nucleolar RNA SNORA74